rnacentral:tRNA from 1 species
AUCUGUUUAGAGUUGUGGUUAGUGCGCUCGGCUGUGGAUCCCGGCGACCUGGGUUCGAUUCCCCCUACCAGAUG